rnacentral:rRNA from 1 species
CAAUAGCGUAUAUUAAAGUUGUUGCGGUUAAAAAGCUCGUAGUUGGAUUUCUGUUGAAGGACGCCGGUCCGCCUUUUGGGCGUGCAUCUGGUUGUGCUUUGGCAUCUUCUCGGAGAGCGUCACUGCGCUUCACUGCGUGGUACGUGCUGCGAGACUUUUACUUUGAGGAAAUUAGAGUGUUCACGGCAGGCAAUCGCCUUGAAUAUAUUAGCAUGGAAUAAUAUUAUAGGAUCUUGGUCCUAUUUUGUUGGUUUCUAGGACUAAGAUAAUGAUAAAUAAGGGAUAAUUGGGGGCGAUUUGUUAUUAACGCGUCAGAGGUGGAAUUCUUGGAUUGCGUUACGACAAACU